rnacentral:rRNA from 1 species
GACGAACGCUGGCGGCGUGCUUAACACAUGCAAGUCGAACGGAAAGGCCCUGCUUUUGUGGGGUGCUCGAGUGGCAAACGGGUGAGUAACCCGUGAGUAACCUGCCCUUGCCUUUGGGAUAACUUCAGGAAACUGGGGCUAAUCCCGGAUAGGAGCUCCUGCUGCAUGGUGGGGGUUGGAAAGUUUCGGCGGUUGGGGAUGGACUCGCGGCUUAUCAGCUUGUUGGUGGGGUAGUGGCUUACCAAGGCUUUGACGGGUAGCCGGCCUGAGAGGGUGACCGGCCACAUUGGGACUGAGAUACGGCCCAGACUCCUACGGGAGGCAGCAGUAGGGAAUAUUGCACAAUGGGCGGAAGCCUGAUGCAGCAACGCCGCGUGCGGGAUGACGGCCUUCGGGUUGUAAACCGCUUUCGCCUGUGACGAAGCGUGAGUGACGGUAAUGGGUAAAGAAGCACCGGCUAACUACGUG